GCACGGAUUUCCUGGUGAACCCAUCCACUUUUUCCGCCGCUGUCACCACAGCCGUUGCUGCCGACAUCUUUUUCCUACAGGCGAGCCACCACAGCGAUAAGAGGAGCGAGGGGACGAUCGGGGCAAUGUUGUCGUCACAUAUCAAGAAGGGCCCGGAGGCAGAACAUCCAAAAUCAAGUUUGGUUGGCGCAGGACCUUGUCCCAAAAAGCAAGGGAUUAUAUUAUUGACUACCGGAGUGUGAGAGGGAGGUGUGGAUGGUUGAGGGGUAAUAACUGUUACUGAACCUAGUGGUGUGAGUCCUGAGGCUCCUGUACCACCUUCCUGAUGGCAGCAGUGAGAGGAGAACAUGGCCUCAAUGGUGAGGGUCCCUGAUGAUGGAUGCUGCUUUCCCGUGUCAGCACGCCAUGCAGGUUUACAGUGCCGGUUGAAAUUGAAGAGGUUUUGGAUCCUGUACCAUAUUUAACAUGACUCGAUUUGAGAAAUUUUCCCAGCAUUAUGUUGGAAAAUGUCAAGCAAAACUGCUCUGCUGGUAGAGUCCAUGUGGAAUUCAGCAGCAAACUUACAAGUUAAAAUGAAGUGAGAAUGUAUGGGAGCGGAGAGGACUCAGCCUUACCACCAAGCUGAAGGUCUACCGAGCAGUGGUUCUCACCACCCUCCUCUAUGCCAGCGAGACCUGGACUGUCUACAGCAGACACGCUAAACAGCUCAACCACUUCCACUUGAGCUGCCUCAGCAGACUUCUCCAUGUACGAUGGCAGAACAAAGUCCCAGACACAAAGGUCCUAGAAUGGGCUAGCAUCCACAGCGUCUACACCCUCCUACAGAAAGCCCAAGCCAGAUGGGCUGGCCAUGUCAUCAGGAUGUCUGACAGUCAACUACCAAAAUAGCUGCUGUAUGGAGAGCUGAGCCAGGGCAAGCGCUCAGUUGGAGGGCAGAAGAAACGUUUCAAAGACUGCCUCAACGUGUCCCUCAAAGACCUCAACAUCAAUCGCAGUAGCUGGGAAUUGCUUGCUCUGGACUGCCCAACCUGGUGGAGCAGGACCACUAAAGGAGCGUAUGCAGCAGAAAUCAGGCACACCGCAGAGGCUCAGAGGAAACGUGCCACGCGCAAGGCUCGAGCUACCUCCACUUCCACUGAAGCACCUACCCUCAUGUGGGCAAGCUUUCAGGGCCCAGAUUGGCCUCACUAGUCACCUCCGAACCCACAGUCACAAACCCUCCACCUGACAGAAGUCAUGGUUGUCUUCGACUUCGAAGGACGAACAACAACUAUUGCAGAUUCCAACAUCUUCAAUCUGUCUCCAUUUUUUAAAUUGUCAUUUGUUGUAGAUCAAAUAGGACUAUCUUUUGAGUUCCUGGGCAGUAUGAACCUAAAUAGCUGCUGUAUAUUCAAUUCAUGGUUAGUUAAUUCCUCUGGGGCAGGGGCAUCUUUUUCUAUAAUAUAGUACUCCUUUGUGUAAUUCUACAAAUCUUUACAUGAUGUAAAUAUGCUUUUUAAAGGUACUUUGCUAUAAUUUAUAAAAUACUCUAGUAGGUGGAAAAUAGCAGAAAAUGUACUCUCAACUGCAUGUCAGAAUAAUUUAAAAGUUACAGUUUUAAGGCUUCCAAAUUAUUCAGUUUCCCCACAAGUAUCAAGAACUGCUUCUUUGAUGAAACUUACAAACUUGCAGGGGUUCAGGUUGAAAAUGUCAUGAAACAAAGUGUAAAACAUUUAAGCAAACCUGGAGUAGUUGCUCUGGAAUAUUAAAUGUAAUAAUUACUCUGGUGUGGUGAACUAUGUGCCUGUCUGGACACGCCCCCUGCUGACUACUCCUGUGGCUCCUCCCACAGGCCCCUGUAUAAAGGCGAUCUGAGGCCUGACGCUCGGCCUCAGUCUCCAGGACAUAGUAUGAUGGACACUCACUCCUGGUUCCUUCUUCCAGUCAAUAAAAGCCGAUA